UACAGGGGGUGCAAACGUUGCUCGGAAUCAUUGGGCGUAAAGCGCACGUAGGCGGUUCGUUAUGUCGGAUGUGAAAGCCCUUGGCUUAACCGAGGAAGUGCAUCCGAAACUGGCGAGCUAGAGUACGAAAGAGGAUCGCGGAAUUCCCGGUGUAGAGGUGAAAUGCGUAGAUAUCAGGAGGAACACCGAUGGCGAAGGCAGGUCGUCUGGGCUGACACUGACGCUCAUGCACGAAAGCGUGGGGAGCAAACAGG
rnacentral:rRNA from 1 species